UUAUUCAAUCCUUCAUUUUCUCCAGACUUUAUGGAGUUUUUAUGUUACUGCUGAUCUUUGAAUACCUCCUCAGAUGAUAGCAGUGCAAGUGUCAAAUUUUGACUGUUCAUGUUAAAGGAACAACGAUUCCUUUAGUCAUUAUAAGUUGCAUGUUUAUCAUACUGUCAGGGUCUUCUCAAUGGGAUGUGACUAGCAUGCAUGGGCAUAACAUCACAAUGUACUUUAGCAGUGUAUCGCCCAAUAGAGAAGGAAAUUAAUAC
rnacentral:lncRNA from 1 species